rnacentral:rRNA from 1 species
GACGAACGCUGGCGGCGUGCUUAACACAUGCAAGUCGAACGGAAAGGCCCUGUCUGGGGUAGUCGCGCGGGGGGCGGGUGGGUAAGAAGCGAGUAAGUUACCCUUCACUUGGGGUGAGCCUCCUUAAGCGAUGGCUAAUAACUACUACGACGAUGCUUCUGAUGCGGGGGGGGGGGUGAGAUGUUUGUGCGGGGGGGGAUGGGCUCGCGGCUUAUCAGCUUGUUGGUGGGGUAGUGGCCUACCAAGGCUUGGACGGGUAGCCGGCCUGAGAGGGUGACCGGCCACACUGGGACUGAGAUACGGCCCAGACUCCUACGGGAGGCAGCAGUGGGGAAUAUUGCACAAUGGGCGGAAGCCUGAUGCAGCAACGCCGCGUGAGGGAUGACGGCCUUCGGGUUGUAAACCUCUUUCGCCUGUGACGAAGCGAAAGUGACGGUAGCAGGAGAAGAAGCACCGGCUAACUACGUG